UACGUAGGGGGCAAGCGUUGUUCGGAUUUACUGGGCGUAAAGGGCGCGUAGGCGGCGCGUAAAGUCGGACAUGAAGUCAUUAGGCUCAACCUAAUGGCUGUGUCCGAUACUUACGUGCUUGGAGUGCGGGAGAGGCAGCCGGAAUUCUCGGUGUAGCGGUGAAAUGCGUAGAUAUCGAGAGGAACACCGGUGACGAAGGUGGGUUGCUGGACCGACACGGACGCUGAGGCGAGAAAGCUAGGGGAGCAAACGGG
rnacentral:rRNA from 1 species